UCCCUGGUGGCUCAGAUGGUAAAAGCAUCUACUUACAAUGUGGAAGACCAGGGUUCUAUCCCCGGGUGGGGAA
rfam:TPA: Bos taurus chromosome 10, whole genome shotgun sequence.